UACGUAGGACCCAAGCGUUAUCCGGAGUGACUGGGUGUAAAGAGUUGCGUAGGCGGCUUAUUAAGCGAGUAGUGAAAUCAUGCGGCUCAACCGUUAUGACUAUUACUCGAACUGGUAGGCUUGAGAAUGGUAGAGGUAGUUGGAAUUUCGUGUGUAGGAGUGAAAUCCGUAGAUAUACGAAGGAACACCAAUGGCGUAGGCAGACUACUGGACCAUUUCUGACGCUAAGGCACGAAAGCGUGGGGAGCGAACCGG
rnacentral:rRNA from 1 species